rnacentral:ncRNA from 1 species
AUAAAUUUUUAUAGUUUAACAAAAUUUAUUAUAAGCUUAUUUUACAUAUAAAUUUUAGUGAGAAAUUUUAAUUAUUUAAAUAAUAAUUAUAUAAUAAAGGUAGUAAUUAAUUUUAAAAAUUUAAGAAAUUAAGAUUUAGUAAUGUUAAAAUUAAUAACUAAUUUUGUGCCACAAGUUGCGGUUAAACAAAAGUUAAAUUAAAUUUUAUUAGUAAUUAAUUAAUAAAGUUAAUAAUAAUAAUUUAAAUUUUAAAUUAUUAAGUGAAAUUUUAAUUUAAUAAAAAAUUAUUAAAUAUUUAUGAAUUAAAAAAUUUUAUAAAAAACUAGGAUUAGAUACCCUAUUAUUAAAAAAUUAAAUAAAUUAUACUAAAAUAGUAAUAUUUAAUGAAACUUAAAUAAUUUGGCGGUAUUUUAGUUUAUUCAGAGGAAUCUGUUUCUUAAUUGAUAGUCCACGCAUCAAUUUCCUUAAUUUAUUAUCUUCUAUAUCGUUGUUAAAAAAAUAUUUUUAAUAAUUAAAUAAUAUUUAAGAUUUUUUAUAAAAAUUUAAAUCAGAUCAAGAUGCAGAUUAUAAUUAAGAAUAUAAUGGAUUACAAUAAAUUUCUUUAUAUAUGAUUUUUUCAUUGAAAUCUUAAAAUGAAGGUGGAUUUGAAUGUAACUUUAUUUAGAUUACUUAAAAUGAUUAUUAUUUAAAAUAUGUACAUAUUGCCCGUCGCUUUCAUAGAUAAGUUGGAAUAAGUCGUAACAAAGUAGAGGUACUGGAAAGUGUUUCUAGAAAGAA